UUUUCAGCUUAAUAUCUGAAAGUUCCCGCAAUGCGGGACCAGUAUAUUAAACUUAUUUUUUUAAACUGAUGCGGAGAUAGGGGCUUGCUCCACUCCCAUCGCGG
rnacentral:snRNA from 1 species